AUAUCAAUAAGCGGAGGAAGAGAAACCAACAGGGAUUGCCUCAGUAACGGCGAGUGAAGCGGCAACAGCUCAAAUUUGAAAUCGGGCGACCGAGUUGUAAUUUGCAGAGGAUGCUUCUGGCAAGGCCGCGUCCAAGUUCCAUUGAAUAGGACACCACGGAGGGUGAAAGUCCCUGACGACGCAGGCGGCGCUGAUGUGAAGCUCCUUCUAAGAGUCGAGUAGUUUGGGAAUGCUGCUCUAAAUGGGAGGUAAAUUUCUCCUAAAGCUAAAUACCGGCCAGAGACCGAUAGCGCACAAGUA
rnacentral:rRNA from 1 species